rnacentral:rRNA from 1 species
AUUGAACGCUGGCGGCAUGCCUUACACAUGCAAGUCGAACGGCAGCACGGGAGCAAUCCUGGUGGCGAGUGGCGAACGGGUGAGUAAAGUAUCGGAACGUGCCCAGUCGUGGGGGAUAACGUAGCGAAAGUUACGCUAAUACCGCAUACGAUCUAUGGAUGAAAGCGGGGGAUCGCAAGACCUCGCGCGAUUGGAGCGGCCGAUAUCAGAUUAGGUAGUUGGGGGGGUAAAGGCUCACCAAGCCGACGAUCUGUAGCUGGUCUGAGAGGACGACCAGCCACACUGGGACUGAGACACGGCCCAGACUGCUACGGGAGGCAGCAGUGGGGAAGUUUGGACAAUGGGCGAAAGCCUGAUCCAGCCAUGCCGCGUGCAGGAUGAAGGCCUUCGGGUUGCAAACUGCUUUUGUACGGAACGAAAAGGUUUGGCCUAAUAAGCUGAGCUCAUGACGGUACCGUAAGAAUAAGCACCGGCUAACUACGUGCCAGCAGCCGCCGUAA